GACGAACGCUGGCGGCGUGCUUAACACAUGCAAGUCGAACGGUGAAGCGCCUUCCUUUUUGGUGGGUGUGGAUGAGUGGCGAACGGGUGAGUAACACGUGAGUAACCUGCCCCCUUCUUCUGGAUAACCGCAUGAAAGUGUGGCUAAUACGGGAUAUUCUGGGUCUGUCGCAUGAUGGGUCUGGGAAAGAUAUUGUUUCGGUGGGGGUGGGCUCGCGGCCUAUCAGCUUGUUGGUGGGGGGAUGGCCUACCAAGGCGGUGACGGGUAGCCGGCCUGAGAGGGUGGACGGUCACACUGGGACUGAGACACGGCCCAGACUCCUACGGGAGGCAGCAGUGGGGAAUAUUGCACAAUGGGCGCAAGCCUGAUGCAGCGACGCCGCGUGAGGGAUGGAGGCCUUCGGGUUGUGAACCUCUUUCGCCAGUGAAGCAGGCCUGCCUCGUUUGUGGGUGGGUUGACGGUAGCUGGAUAAGAAGCGCCGGCUAACUACGUG
rnacentral:rRNA from 1 species